AUUGAACGCUGGCGGCAGGCCUAACACAUGCAAGUCGAACGAGUGGCGGACGGGUGAGUAAUGUCUGAGAAACUGCCCGAUGGAGGGGGAUAACUACUGGAAACGGUAGCUAAUACCGCAUACCAUCGGAUGUGCCCAGAUGGGAUUAGCGAGUAGGUGGGGUAACGGCUCACCUAGGCGACGAUCCCUAGCUGGUCUGAGAGGAUGACCAGCCACACUGGAACUGAGACACGGUCCAGACUCCUACGGGAGGCAGCAGUGGGGAAUAUUGCACAAUGGGCGAAAGCCUGACGCAGCCAUGCCGCGUGUAUGAAGAAGGUCUUCGGGUUGUAAAGUACUUUUAGUGGGGAGGCGUUACUUACAGAAAAAGCAACGGCUAACUCCGUGCCAGCAGCCGCGGUAAUAC
rnacentral:rRNA from 1 species